rnacentral:rRNA from 1 species
GUGGGGAAUAUUGGACAAUGGGGGGAACCCUGAUCCAGCCAUGCCGCGUGUGUGAAGAAGGCCUUUUGGUUGUAAAGCACUUUAAGCGAGGAGGAGGCUACCGAGAUUAAUACUCUUGGAUAGUGGACGUUACUCGCAGAAUAAGCACCGGCUAACUCUGUGCCAGCAGCCGCGGUAAUACAGAGGGUGCAAGCGUUAAUCGGAUUUACUGGGCGUAAAGCGCGCGUAGGUGGCCAAUUAAGUCAAAUGUGAAAUCCCCGAGCUUAACUUGGGAAUUGCAUUCGAUACUGGUUGGCUAGAGUAUGGGAGAGGAUGGUAGAAUUCCAGGUGUAGCGGUUAAAUGCGUAGAGAUCUGGAGGAAUACCGAUGGCGAAGGCAGCCAUCUGGCCUAAUACUGACACUGAGGUGCGAAAGCAUGGGGAGCAAACAGGAUUAGAAACCCCAGUAGUCC